AUACGUAGGUGGCGAAGCGUUGUCCGGAAUUAUUGGGCGUAAAGACGCGCGCAGGUGGUUCCUUAAGUCUGAUGUGAAAGCCCACGGCUCAACCGUGGAGGGUCAUUGGAAACUGGGGAACUUGAGUGCAGAAGAGGAAAGUGGAAUUCCAAGUGUAGCGGUGAAAUGCGUAGAGAUUUGGAGGAACACCAGUGGCGAAGGCGACUUUCUGGUCUGUAACUGACGCUGAGGC
rnacentral:rRNA from 1 species